ensembl:misc_RNA 7SK 7SK RNA
GGAUGUGAGGGCGAUCUGGCUGCAACAUCUGCCACCCCAUCGAUUGCCUCGGUUGCUUCGGCUGAUCUGGCUGGCCAGGCAGGUGUCCCCUUCCUGCCUCACCGCUCCAUGUGAGCCCCUCCCGAAGCCGCUCGCUCCGUUGAAGGGGACGACCUUCCCGAUAAAGAAGGACUGUUCUUCAGUCAAGGGUAUGCGAGUAGCUGGGCUCCCCUGCUAGACCCUCCAAACAAACUCUCGAGGUUCAUUUGCAGGAGAACGUAGGGUAGUCAAGCUUCCAAGACCGCAGACACUUCCAAAUGAGGCACUGUACGUGGCAGUCUGCCUUUCUCA